UGAGUUCUCGUUUUUGUAUCGGCGUUAGGAGCUCCGUUUUUAAGCAAUGAGAAUGAGAUAGAACAGAGUCUCGUAUAUUAAUAAAUAAGUCAUGUUAUGCUCUUAUAUUAGAAGUGCAUUACUAAAGUCAAGAAGCAACAGGAUUUGUAAGGCUAGCAAGGGAACAAUAACAAGAAGCAAGCAACAGGAUUUGUAAGGCUAGCAAGGUAGAAAGUCAGGUAUCAAUCAACCCCAGUAGGAAGUGACUUUUAUAGCUCCAUUAUCUUCUUAAAGAAAGGGCGCUAACGUUAGCUUAUUGUUUCCGGGGUUGGGGAGAGGAGAGUUAGAAGUUAAGUAUACACCAUGAGUCAAAUCUUAUUAGUGACAUAUUCUAAGAGUAACAAGACUUAGGGACUAACUUCUUUUGAAACAAUAUAUCUCAUGGAUUAUUUCAAAGACCCACUGGACUAACGCCAUGAAAACACCACUCCUACUAUAGCCGAUGGAAAACCUCCUUCUUGCUUUGCUCUACACUGUACCCUUUACCCCCUUACUUACAUUGCUUGGACCACAUAAGAGGAAAGCUUUUCAUAAGGCAAUUAGAGUCUAACCUAUAUGCCUCUGUUCAACUCUGCUAACGCUUAUUCCAAGUUUAGGGAAGAGCAAGCGGGGAUAGUUCGUUUUUAAGCAAAAGAGAAGCAGUAAAGUCAACAGUGAAUUUCUGGAACAAAAGAAAUAGCCGAUAGGUCGUUAUCCUCAAAGCAAAAGCAGAGAAGUAGCGUCAUUGAUCGAAAGCCUUAAGUCAACAAAGAAUUGCUGGGCUCUGAGCGCUGAACAAGGAGUCAUAGGUUUUUUGACUACCCAUUCUAUAUGUUUAUAGCUCUAUUCUUAAAUGAAUCACGAGUGCUUCUUCACAGCGCUAAGCAUAUUCCUUCAUACGAGUUUCCAGUUCUGUUCGAGACGGCAGAUGAAGAGACUAAUGCCCCUGGCAGGUAUAGUCUCUCGAUCAUUGGCAGGUCAAGUCUCUCGAUCAUUGGCUGAAUUGCCUGGUCAUUUUAUGAGAAAUAGUGAGCUUUUUCACAUGGGAGAAAAAGGGCAAUGCAAUCAACUUUCCCUCCCCGGCAGUAUAGCGUCGCUAGGAUUUCUCAAUAGAGUACAAUCCAGCAAGCAAGAUAGUUUGGCUCUGGAUUUUGCUUGGUGCUCAUCCCUUUCUUGAUUCGAUAGCAUUUGAUGGAAAUAGAACGUCGAGUGAAGAGAACCCCUUAGUUAUUCUAAAUACAAUUGUUCUUUCUUAACUACUAAGUGGAAUUAUAUCACCAAAAUAGUCUCUGUGGGUGCUGUCUGAAAGCCCUGUUUUUUGGAUCUGAAUGAAGCUCUGUGGAAUGCAAAAGUGGAGUUCCGAAAGCAGCAAAAAGGUCGAAUAGUGAGCUGAGAGCUUUCAAUAAUCAAAUCGAGUUAUAUCUUCAGAUCUGGCCCCUUACUCGCUCGUGAGCCAAUUAUUUCUCCUAAAGAUUCCAUUCAAGUGAUUUGCCUCCCGAAUCUUAUAGACAAGAAUGAAGGAAUACAACACUCAAACAUAUUGAAUAAUACUACCUUCCUUGAAUAGAAUGAGAAAGAGCGGAAAUCCAAAUAGCCUUCGGAAUACAUAUGUGCUACUUAACGUGCUGAUAGAUGAAAGAGGGCAUGGAUUGAUUGCCUGGCAGCGAGGAGUUAAUAGCCAUCUUCUUUUCUUACAUGGUCAAAGAAUAUAGCUAAGAGAUAUUUCUGCUUUGAAAGAGGAGCUUCCAGAGUAUGGGCCGUGUCUCAGUCCCAGUGAAGCCCUUGUUAGAAUCCAAUGCCCCUGAAAAACGUCGUGUCGUGGAGCAGAAAGUGGCUUUAAACCAGGCUAUCCUAACUCCCUUAGGGCUCCUGCCGCUAGUGUUCGUCGAGUAAGAAGUCAAUUAAUCCAAUUGAACCACCCUAUGACCAUAAGUACUGGAGUCUGGAAUUGCACCACCCUAUGAUAAGUACUGAAGUCUAGAAUUGCUAUGAGGCAAGUAACUACUAAUGUUACGCGGCAGUGCUGUUUACCGGGAAAACGGAAAAAGAUCAUUUCCAUGGAGCCCCUUAGGAGGGGCCAAGGAACUACUAACGUUCCGCGGAGGAGCUCUCACCAAUGCUACCUUUUUGACCGGGAAAACGUGAACUUUGGAUUUCCAAUUGACCCUUCAGGAAGCAAAACACCUUCGCUACCUUUUUUCUCGGGAAAACGCAAAGAUAAGAUUUCCAAUUGACCCUUUAGUAGGGAAAAUGCCAGUGCAACGAAAAAACACGGGGUUUCUUAAAAAAUGAAUGACUUUGGAUCGGUCUAUUAGCUAAAAUAAGGUUGCUGCCUUUUUGACCGGGUUUCCAUGAGUGACUGAGUGUUCUAAUCCCUUGUUGAGUCUUCUCUGAAGUUGACAAGUAGUUGUCCUGUCGAAUCUGUAUUAGUUGACUACGGAGAAGUAGAUGAGCAAGAAAAGUCUUAGUUGCCCUAGAUUGAAGUUGGCCUAGCCUGUAGUUUGCGAGAGUGGAGCCAGAGUUAGAGUAGUUGACAGAGGAGUAGUGAGUGGAAUACCGAGUUUCGUCUUCAAGUCCUGUGUUCGGGAACUAAGUAGUAACAGAAAGAAACAAGCCCAUAGCAGACCUAAAGACAGGAUUAGUUGGUGGAGAUAUAGGCUUUAAGGCAAUAGUGGAAGCUUUAAUACCCGCCCCCACACUAAGGGAGACUCUAACAAACAAGUAAGGAUGAAAGGGACAAAUACAAGAAUCCAGAGUCUAGUCAGAAUGAUAGCUAACAGCGGUAGACUUUAAGGCAAUCUAGUUAGUUUUAGAUGGGCACAGGUAAGGUUUGGGGUCAAUAGCGGAAGCCCAGUUAGCAGUGGUUCUAGUUUUCAAGCAAAGGUAACAACGGUAGGUUCAUAUGUCGCAGAGCAAGACUCGAGGUAAUUAGUUGCAGGUUUGUCAGCGCUAGUCUAAUUCUAAUAGCUGGAGUCGUUUUGUUCUUACGGGCAGUAGGGCAGGCUAGGAGAAAGGUGGGCAAGUCAGAUAGAGUUAGUUCGGGACAGAAAGCGUUAAGUCAUGCCAGUAAAGUCCGUAUUGCCAGGUCCAGUAGAAAGUUGAGUGGAAAGUCCUGUUAGUGCAGAGGGUAUACUACUUAGGUCAAUUCUGAACUUCACUUAUGAGCCAGAGGCAGUUGUUUCCUUCUUACUCUUAUUGGUUGGAGUUUCUCAUUCUUAUACUUACUAGUUGGGGUGGUUUCAUUCUUAGUGUUCUACCAGUAAUACCAAUACCUAAGUUUCAUUCUGUCUAGAAAUAGAACGGAUUGUCCCGCUGAAGCUCAAACAUUAGAUUAGAGGCCCUUAUUGUAAGUUUGCUCAAACAAAAGUAGUAGGGGCGGUCUUAAACUGAAACUAUCACUCGAACAAGAACUGGAACUCUACUUGAUGACAAGACCAAGACUGGAAUUGCUAUCCAAAAACACGGAGCCAAGCUACUGCUACUAAGGCAACUAGCCAAGCAAACGACUACUACAAAAGCAAGAGUCAGAGUAGUAUAAGAAAAGGAAGAAUUCGCCAGGCAAGAGGGGGUGCCUUGUAGGGGUGAACUCAAAGGUCAGAAUUGUAACGAGAGUCGAGGUGGGUUCAAGAGGAAAGAGAGAGUUUAUUACUUAUUAGAAAGAGAUAGUUUACUUAAGCUAUAGAAGGAAAGUAGCUCGGGCUAAAGUAAGCUUCAAAAGGUUAUGGUUAAGAAAGUGGAGUGAAUUACUAGGGAGUUCAAGAGGUAUGUAUGAGUCUCGGAAGAAAGAGUUAAUAAAUAGGAAAUCAAGGGUUAACUGGAGUUAGUGUAUUAGUAGAGGCUUUCAGCACCUUCCUGUUUAUGUUUAAGAGAUAGAUCCUGACUGUUGGUCGAGUGUGAGUUUCAGACCGGAUAUCAGUUGGAAGUACUGCUCCUGUUGUUGUUAGAUUGGAAUUCUGUAUUUGUAGUGGUUUCAUGAAGUGACUAGGGGUCGGGGCAGAGUUGGAGGCUAAGUUUACGUUUCAGAAUUAUUUGUUGUCAGUUGCCAGAGGAGAGGGAGAGUUGAAUGAUCUACCUGUUGCUACUCGUACUUUACUGGGUUGCCAGAGUCGAGGUAUACCGAAUGAAGGUUGGAAUUAGACAAGAGUUUAUACUACUGAGUGCAAUUCUUAGUCGUUUUAUGGGUUUCAUUCUUAGCUUGCUGAGUGGAAUUCUGAUCUUAUACUAGAAGCGGGCAAUUAAUACCUUAAUUACUAAUAAGGGCUAGCUCACCAAUGAGUUGAAUUCUCUGACUUAUGGGUUGAAUUCUUGGACGAGUGAGUUGAAUUCUGUAUUUGUUGCUCUAGUAGCUGGGCUUUGACCACUUAACGGUUUCAUUCUUGGACUUACUUGUUUGAUUCUUACUUCCGUUCCCACUUGUUCAUUCAGUAAUUCCCACUUUCCAACCUUAGUUUCAUUCUUAGCUUUGAAGUGAACCCAUCCCCUGUGGAGCUUGGCUCUUACUUUCAACAAAGUAGCUAAUUAGUUCAAUUAGUUCAAAGAGUCGAAUGAAGGUAGAAAACUACUGAUCUAAAGUCUAGUAUAUUGGAGAAUUGCCUGUAUCAGGAUCAGAGCAGAGCCCUCAUAGUAAGUCGAGAAAGUCAUCCCGAGUUUCCCUUAUAUUAAGUCGGAGAGAGAUUAGCUAGUAGCCAGAGGAGAGGUAUUCUAGUUGCCACCAGCAAUCGGGUAAGAAAGUGGAGUUAUCGUAUCAGACGGGAAGGAAAGUGGAGUUUUAUCGUAUUAGAAGCCCCUUUAAGUAGUAGUCCAGGGUAGGUUCUUGUUGGCGAAAGUGCCCUGUAAAGUAUAGAAUUGCCAGUGACUCGGGUGGGGCUUGUCUCAUUCAGUAGGGCAUAGUGGUCUGGUCUAGUGAAAUCCGUAUUUGUUGACAGAGGAGAGGUUUAGUUGACAGAGAAUCAUUAAGCUAGUAGCCAGCUGCCAGUGGAAUUCUUUGCCAGUAGUUUAGAGAGCUAGUUUCUUUCUUUGGUUUCAUAGCCACUAGUAAGUUAGUACGUAGUUACUUGGCCGAGUGUCUUGGCGCGCCGUUGCUUGGCCAGUUGUGAUUUCAUUCCCAUCCCAGUGGUUACUCGAUUCCCAGUUGAGAGUUAUCGUCUUGUGUUUAUUGGUUUCAGCCUUAGACUCCUUUCCGGUAUUCCUACUUUUGAGCUUCAUCCCUUAUAUCUAGUUGUUGUCGUUGUGGUGGGCACAGUUUCUCAUCCUUAGAAGCAGCAGCGAUAGCCUUUCUUUGCUUUCAAUGUGUUAGAGCUAUGUCCCUUACCCUUACCUUAUAGCUCGAUUCCUUAUUCGUAGUUCUAUUAUCAUGGGCGGUAGUUCACUCCCGAUACCCUUAGUUCCAAUCCGAUACUCACUACUUCAUUUAGUUCCUUUGAUCAGUGGUUCAAUUGCUAUUGUUAUUGAUUGGAUUCUUAUAGUGAAGUAUAGUUCGUUCUUGCACCUAGUGGUGUGUGAGUUUGCAAGUAUGUAAAGGAAUACUCAAACUCGCAUAUAGGCAUUGAGUUCGGUAGUUUCAGUUUAAGAGCUAUUGGAUAAAGGCUGGAAGCAAGUCAAGUCAGAGUAGCGGGGCAGUAGGGGAAGCCCGGUUUCCAAUACAAUAUAAGUAUGUUUCAUUUACCAGUAAAGUAAGGUUCGAGACCAUUAGGUGAAUUUGGAGUUUUGAGGAUAAGUCUUAGAGUAGUAGCGGCUCAAGUCUUAUUGGUGGAGUGUUUUGAUUCACUGUUUCGAGGUUGGUUAUGAGAACACCAGCGCAAGUAUGUUUGUCAGCUGCUCCAUGCUUAUAUUAUAGAAUUCUUAUUCGCCCCAACGGGGUAUCAGCCUUGCCAGUAAUAGCCCGAUCCCUAGUUAUGAGUUCGAAUCAGUUUGCCGGUAGUUUCAUUCCUUAAUGCAUUUAGGAAAGUCCUAUUGUCUUCGGUGUCUCAAUCCAAUAGUCAGUGGCUCAAGCCUGUUUGCCACCAGUCCCAUUCCCUUUAGUAGUUAGUGUAGGCUUGAACAAAGAUAAGUCCUUUUCCCAGUGAGUAGGGAAAGUCUCCGUUUUAGGUGUCAGCCUUAUUUCUGUGUUGUUAGUAUAGAAGUCUAAGUAGCCCAUUCUUAUUGUUAGAGGAAUCAGGCUUAUAGACAGAGGUAUAUCUGUUGGAUAGCAAAGAUGUCAGGAACAACUAACAGAAUAUAAGUUAGGUGAUGUGGAAUCAACCCAGGGAGAGGUGGAGUGAAGCGGAGAUAGUCAGAAUUAGAUCGAGUAACUACAGAACCGAAGUAAGGAGAGGAAGGAUGAAUCCACUAAUACGGAAUGCAGUAAGUAAGUCCCGUUAGGCGGUGUUCGAUUCAAGGUUUCACUCUUGUCAUUACCAGUGGAAUGUCCCUAUUGUAAGUGAAAGUAUGAUUGUGGUAUCGGCUAAAGUAUUGCUAGCAGCGGUGUAAUACCCAGCUUUAUUAGUUUGAUUCUAUGAUUGAUUAGUGAAAAUCUAUGUAUUCCCAGUGCAAUUCCGAGUUCCUACUUAGAUGUACCUACUAAAGAAAGAGUUGGUUCCCUAUUGAUAGUUAAGGUCUUCAAAGCACUUGUUCCAUUCUAUAUUAUAAGGCCGGUAUUCCCUAGUCGAAUAUGAGAAGCACUAGUUCCAGAUUGGGGGCAUGGAAAGAAAGAACCAAAGUAGGUAACUUCAGAGUGAAGCCAAGGAUAGUAAGAGUAGGUAACUUCAGAGUGAAAGCCAAGGAUAGUCAGGCUAAUAUUCUAGUGAGUAGCCGCUUGGUGAGUCAAAAGGGAAAUAUAGAGUUAAGACUUGGAGUGGAGGCCUAAAGCCCAUAAGCAAGGAUUUUCUUCCUUCAGUAGUGUCAGACCUCUAUUGAGUAGUAGAAUAACGGACCUGGAAAUACAGAUUUGAGGGUAGUAGCGAAAGCCGUGUUAUCCGUGGCCCCGGUUGCUUGUUUCGAUCUUGUUAGCAGUGAUUUCAUUCUCGAUUUACUACAAUAAAGAGAUUAGGUCUCAACAAAGAGAUUUGUGUCAAAUGCGUAAGGAGAUUAGUUUCAAAUGAACUCUAACAUAACAGAUUUAGUGUUGAUUGAUGGGAAAUCUACUAUGGAAUGCCCUGAGUCGAGCUUAUUAUUCAUUUCAAGCCUAUCAAACAAAACAGGAUAGUAAGAAUAAGAUCAAGCAAUAUCCGUUUUAGAGCUAGUGGACAGAGGCUAGUAUAAAGCCCCCAAAGGGUCGGCUUAUAGUAAGUCAAACAAAGACCCAGAGCAGUAGAUAAAGAAGGAGUGGAGGGCUAAGAAGGUAUUCCAAGUUGCGGGGUAAGCCCGAGUUCUAGUAUAAGUAUGAGAAGCGCCGGUUCCGCUCUUGGAGGCAGUAGUGAAAGCCUCGUUUUUUAGGUAGGGUCAUUCCUGUCAGCACCAGUUCUAUUCUUGUAGUUCCUUGACUUACUUGUUUCAUUCUAUUCCUUGGAUGUGCUGUAUAUCAGACCCUUAUUCUUUGACUACUUAGUGUAAUGCGCUCUUGCAGUAUAAACGCGAAAGUGAUACUUCGACUAAGGGGUGUGGGAACGAGAUAGAGGAGUGUCUGUUUUAGAGACAUUAGUGGCAGGCUAAUAGUCAAGGUAGUUAGGUUUGGUUUGGAGUUAGUGGUAAUAGAGUGAAAUAGGUUUACUACAGAUUGGAGUUAGGUCUGUGAAGUUUGAACCUCCCCCAUGGGCAUUUAGUUAAUAAAUAUAGGCAUGUGAAGGGGCAAGUAUAAUAAUUUAGGUAAGCUGUAUAGGUUUAGGCAAGGCAGGGCUAGUACGGAUAUAAGUUUUCAACCAAAGAGAGUGAGCCCUAUAGCCAGGACAGUAAUAGUCAAAUAGGAACAUAAGAUUUUAUGUAAUAAGGUAGGCUUGGCUUGGUGUUGCGGGGGCAGUAAACAGAUAUGAGAUCAGGAGCCGUGGACCCAAACAAACAAGCAAGGGUCGAGGUUCUUAGUUUCAGAGUUCAAGUUAGCAGCGGUAGUGUUGGGAUUUUCUUUGGAAUUCAUAGUGGUGGUGGAGGUAUAUAAGAUUGGAUUCCAGCAAGAGCAGGCGCUAGGGCAGUGAAGCCGGACUAAACUAUGAGAGGGCUUUACUAAACUCAAUCUAAGAUCUGGAUCAGCAGUUAACUCAUCAUGGUGAGUGGUUGCUUUCUGAUCGGCAGUAGUAGGGUUCUCUCCAGUACCAGCGGAAUUCUUUGCAUCAUGCUGGAUUAUUAUAUUAUAUCUAGUAGCUCCAUUCUGAUAAUACCGAGUGAGUUUCUAUUUCCUAAUGUAAGAUACAUAUUCUUCUUGUGGCUUAGUGCUCUUAGACCUAAAAUACAGAAUUAAGGAGAAGCUAUGGAUAGCGAUAAGUCAACUCUCUUCUUAAAGUCGGGAGUGCUAGGUUGGCGAGUGGAAUUCCUCCUUUUUGGUUUCUUUCUUUGAAGCGAGGUAUCUUCACCGGGUAGGUUGACGAGAGGGAGGUCUAUUCUGACUUAAGAGUUUGGAGCACUAGGUAGGCGAGAAAUAGCACUACAGGUUGGUUCAGAGCACCACCACCCACUUCCCUGGCUUGUCGGCUUGAAGAUCUUUCCCUGUGUGAACCUGUUUACUAGACACCAGUGUACUAGAGUUAUUCACAAGUCCUGUGUUCGUGAACUCCAUUAAUAUAUAUUAAUGGAUAUUAAUUAAGUUCUUAGCUUUAGUUGCUUGUCGUCUUGGCCCUUAUUCCCAGUUUGGAGUGAAAUUCAGAACGGAGCUUCUUUCACUGUGAACUAUCCCCUUCCCUGAUACCGAGUAAACAAAGAAUUCAUCUAUUUCUAUUUCCACUCCGGGGUCAACAGAACAGGUUGUUGCUUGUCUGCUUGGCGGGUUCUACUUAUACUAGGGGGCUUCUGAAGCACUAACAGAGUUUAGUUCAAAGAGCAAGUCCUGUGUCCCCAGGCGGUUAUAAUGUAUUUAUGACUUUCUAUGUGUUUUGUGGAAGCCUGUUAGAUCAGUGGAGCAAGAUCAGAGGAAAGAUCCGCCCUUACAUAUCCAAUUGUGUAUAUAGUAGGAGUGAAGAAGCACAUAGUCGGAGUGAAGAAAUAGAGGCAAGAUCCGCCCUUACAUAUAGUAUAGUAGGAGUUAAGAAGCCAAGCAAAGGUGAGGUCGGCACCAUGUAUUGAUGUGAAAGCCCUGCAAUGCCCUCGCCAUAUACAUAUAGCAAUUGUGUCACUCCUUAACUAGGGUAGGCGGCUUGUGUUUCACUUACAUCAAUUGACUAGCUAACCUUUAGCGCUUUAGCUCGUCGAUUAGUAUUCUUUUCUAGUAUUCUUUUAGUUGUUUGUCUGAUAGCUCAGCAGAUAUAGUAGUUACGGUGUUCUUCUUUAGUUUAUAGGAACUCGUACUUGUUUCAUUCCGCUCUAUAUAAGUAAUAUGUAUUCCGUUUUCCACCUUCCAUAGUAGUUGCAUUCUGUUUAUCUAUUUGCUAUUGGAGGUCAGUUAUUCUUAUUCGAGGGAUAGUUUACAGUGAAAGAAGAUAAGAAUUCAUAAUUGUUGACAGAGCCAGAGAGGGAUGAGCCGGGAGUUCUUGUUUGAAGUAAGAGCCAAGCGUAACAGGGGGUGGGUGAACUACUAAGAUCAGAAUUGCACUCAGGAGUGAAAGAGCCAAGCUAAAGUACUAGAGCCAGAAAUCAGAAUGGAAUGGAAUGAGUUUACUUAGGUAGAGGAUAGAGGGGAAGUUGCAAGUUUAGUUUAGAGUAGCUAGUCCUGUAGUUGUAGAGUUGAAUACCGAGCCCUUCAUUAGUUGUUUCAUCCCUAGUUUCAUCCUUUGUUGGCUACGAGAGAGGAGUGGAGUUGGGGUCGAUAACACCGGAGCGGAGGUUGGUCACGUCAUUGAAUUGCCUGGCCUUCUACACAAAGGUACGAGACGAGAUUGAAUCACUUACCGUUGAAGAAGCACAGAGGCAUAAUAGGUCUAUAUACAAGAAAGAAUAUGGAACAGGUGAGGAAGCUGUGGAAGUGAAAGUGAAGUCUAGUAUAGUGUUACUUGUGUUAAGCAAUGAGUCAAUUAAGCAAAAUGAGCAAAACCUAAUUGGAUCUUUCGAGUCCAGUCCUUGCACUGCUACCACCUUCUGAUCCCUCUGUGGGCAUUCUCUUAGGCUUCUUCCCCUGCUGAUGCUUGAGACUAAGAUUCCCUAAAUGCUUCUAUACUAAACAAAACUUGCAUGAAAUAAGUGUAUGGCGCCCGAGAGACUUUAUCUUAUCUUAGGAGAUGAUAUCUUCUUAAUACGACUUUCCUAGCACCGACACAAUCACCUCUAUCUAUGACAACACUUGCACCCUCCACUCAAUUACUCGGUUUGUUUAAAGCAAAGGUCUCCGUUAAGGGCCAUUCGAGCAAGGAUCUCUGUGUUGGAUAGUUCAAGUUCUGAAUAAACAUCUUCCAGCGAGUAGGAGCGGGAUGACAUAAACGCUCAAACAAGCAACUCUGGGGAUGUAGUUCAUUCUUUCCUCGUAUUUCACUAAGCUAUUUACCGCUGAACACAUCUAUUGAGCAAGUCCUGUGUUCGGCUUCUCAUACUUUAGAUCAUACCCAGGAAGCCAGCGACUACCUAUAAGUAGUAAUCCGGGAACUAAGCCCAUAUCCCUUGACUCUAUCCUUGCUCUACUAUAUCCCAUGCCGAAACUCCUUAACUAACAAUACUUCAACCAUUAGUCUGUCCCGCCCCCUUCCAUUAGGCGCUUACUUUACUGACUUUGAUUCUGUAACUUGCUACUAUUAGAAUUGGACUAGUGGCCUGGAUACUGUCUUGCGCCAUUGGUUGCCGAGUUUUCUUGUUCAAUUACUUAUUAAUAAGACCAGAUCGAUGAUUAGAGACUAAAAGCCGGUAGUGAUAGGUUUAGACAAGAGAAUGUAAAUACAGCUAAUGAAAGGCGGACUAAUAGACAGGAAUAGAAGGCCAUUACUACUGACGGUAAAUACAGAUUUGAUAUCAGUAGCCUAAGAGCUACGUAGGGGACUCCAGUCUAUAAGCAAGGAUACACAGAGCAGUACCGGAGAAUGAUAGCAAAGGAUAUAUACUUAAAGAAGGCAGGCAAGGGAAAGCUUGGAAGCACUAGUUCCAUUCGUAGUUUAGAGUUCGAUUCCCUAUUUAUAUAUUGAUUCUUUUAUUGACUAGUUGAGUUCUUAUCACCAAUAAGUAAAGUUCUGUCCUAUCCCAGCAAGGGGCCCUAAAGAGGAAAUACCCUGAUAACACUCGAUCGAAACUAAGUAGUACGAGAAUGAGAUAAAGCAUAGUCAGACCAAUAGAAAGGAAAGUCACAUUAUAAGAAGGUGCGUUGCCUACAUAAUUCAAUAGGUAAGCGGAUAAUUCAGUAAGUAAGUGGAAGCCCUAGUUGUUAAUUCCAUUCUAUAAGAGGCCCGUUCCAAGGUUAAGAAGAGGUAUUGUUGGGCACUAGGUUGAUUCUUUCCAGUAGAGAUAUAUAAGCCUUGUAAGUAUAACAGCGAUAACCUUGUUAGCCC
rnacentral:lncRNA from 1 species